CGCAGACAACUAGGACGUUGGCUCAGAAGCAGCCAUCAUUCAAAGAGUGCGUAAUAGCUCACUAGUCGAGUGACGCCGCGCCGAAAAUUUACCGGGGCUAAGCAUGAUACCGAAACUGUGGAUGUGCAUUUAUGCACGUGGUAGGAGAGCGUUCUAGCGGCGGUGAAGCAUGACCGAGAGGACAUGUGGAGCUUCUAGAAGUGAGAAUGCCGGUAUGAGUAACGAAAGACAGGUGAGAAUCCUGUCCGCCGCAAGAC
rnacentral:rRNA from 1 species